GACGAACGCUGGCGGCGUGCUUAACACAUGCAAGUCGAACGGAAAGGCCCUGCUCUUGCGGGGUGCUCGAGUGGCGAACGGGUGAGUAACACGUGAGUAACCUGCCCCUGACUGUGGGAUAACUUCAGGAAACUGGGGCUAAUACCGGAUAGGAGCUCCUGCUGCACGGUGGGGGUUGGAAAGUUUCGGCGGUUGGGGAUGGACUCGCGGCUUAUCAGCUUGUUGGUGGGGUAGUGGCUUACCACGGCUUUGACGGGUAGCCGGCCUGGGAGGGUGACCGGCCACAUUGGGACUGCGAUACGGCCCAGACUCCUACGGGAGGCAGCGGUGGGGAAUAUUGCGCAAUGGGCGGAAGCCUGAUGCAGCAACGCCGCGUGCGGGAUGACGGCCUUCGGGUUGUGAACCGCUUUCGCCUGUGACGAAGCGUGAGUGACGGUAAUGGGUAAAGAAGCACCGGCUAACUACGUG
rnacentral:rRNA from 1 species